CAGUAGCCGCGGGAAUACGUAGGGUGCAAGCGUUAAUCGGAAUUACUGGGCGUAAAGCGUGCGCAGGCGGUUUGUUAAGACAGAUGUGAAAUCCCCGGGCUCAACCUGGGAACUGCAUUUGUGACUGGCAAGCUAGAGUCUGGCAGAGGGGGGUGGAAUUCCGCGUGUAGCAGUGAAAUGCGUAGAUAUGCGGAGGAACACCGAUGGCGAAGGCAGCCCCCUGGGCCAACACUGACGCUCAUGCACGAAAGCGUGGGGAGCAAACAGGAUUAGAUACCCGAGUAGUCCCUGUCUCUUAUAU
rnacentral:rRNA from 1 species